UUAGAGUUUGAUCCUGGCUCAGGAUGAACGCUAGCUACAGGCUUAACACAUGCAAGUCGAGGGGAAACGACAUCGAAAGCUUGCUUUUGAUGGGCGUCGACCGGCGCACGGGUGAGUAACGCGUAUCCAACCUGCCCACCACUUGGGAAUAACCUUGCGAAAGUAAGACUAAUGCCCAAUGACGUUGAAAGAAGACAUCUGAUUUCAACUAAAGAUUCAUCGGUGAUGGAUGGGGAUGCGUCCGAUUAGCUUGUUGGCGGGGUAACGGCCCACCAAGGCAACGAUCGGUAGGGGUUCUGAGAGGAAGGUCCCCCACAUUGGAACUGAGACACGGUCCAAACUCCUACGGGAGGCAGCAGUGAGGAAUAUUGGUCAAUGGACGAGAGUCUGAACCAGCCAAGUAGCGUGCAGGAUGACGGCCCUAUGGGUUGUAAACUGCUUUUAUAAGGGAAUAAAGUGAGUCUCGUGAGACUUUUUGCAUGUACCUUAUGAAUAAGGACCGGCUAAUUCCGUGCCAGCAGCCGCGGUAAUACGGAAGGUCCGGGCGUUAUCCGGAUUUAUUGGGUUUAAAGGGAGCGUAGGCCGGAGAUUAAGCGUGUUGUGAAAUGUAGAUGCUCAACAUCUGCACUGCAGCGCGAACUGGUUUCCUUGAGUACGCACAAAGUGGGCGGAAUUCGUGGUGUAGCGGUGAAAUGCUUAGAUAUCACGAAGAACUCCGAUUGCGAAGGCAGCUCACUGGAGCGCAACUGACGCUGAAGCUCGAAAGUGCGGGUAUCGAACAGGAUUAGAUACCCUGGUAGUCCGCACGGUAAACGAUGGAUGCCCGCUGUUGGUCUGAAUAGGUCAGCGGCCAAGCGAAAGCAUUAA
rnacentral:rRNA from 1 species